CACGUAGGGACCAAGCGUUGUCCGGAUUUAUUGGGCGUAAAGCGCUCGUAGGCGGUUCGGUAAGUCGGGUGUGAAACCUCUGGGCUCAACCCAGAGACGCCACCCGAUACUGCCGUGACUUGAGUUCGGUAGGGGAGCGGGGAAUUCCUGGUGUAGCGGUGAAAUGCGCAGAUAUCAGGAGGAACACCGGUGGCGAAGGCGCCGCUCUGGGCCGAUACUGACGCUGAGGAGCGAAAGCGUGGGUAGCAAACAGG
rnacentral:rRNA from 1 species